GCUAGCAAUGCGCCGUCACGGUUCAGCCGGUUUGCUCNAGGAGUCGGCGGUCGUCGGAUCCGAACGGACCGCGGUGUCGGCGUCCGCGAGCGAACUGCGGUGCACUCUGUGGCGGCGCGCNGUCAGCCGUCGGUUCGGAGCCGGGCGACAAGGCGCCGGAUGGAAGGUAGCCUCGCGGCCUGGCCGCGAGUGUUACAGACGCCGUGCUGGGUCCGCUGCUCGGACCGAGGAGAGAGAGGAUCGCUGCAGCGCAUGCCNCAAGGCUAGCUGCCUGCCGUCCGGCUUGCUUCACUGGCUGAGGACUGCACGCAGUGUUCGGCUUGGCGAGGUGGUCUGGCGGUGGAGUGGCAUAAAUGCGCUUAGGACGCUGGCGUCCAAAUGGCCGUGCGCGACCCGUCUUGAAACACGGACCAAGGAGUCUAACAUGUGCGCGAGUCUUUGGGUGUGAAAACCCUCGGGCGCAAUGAAAGUGAAGGCUCGCGUUGGCGGGCUGAGGUGAGAGCCGGUGCUGCGGCGUCGGUGCAUCAUCGACCGGUCCAUUCUUCUCUAAGAAGGAUCCGAGUAAGAGCGUAUUUGUUGGGACCCGAAAGAUGGUGAACUAUGCCUGAAUAGGGUGAAGCCAGAGGAAACUCUGGUGGAGGCUCGUAGCGAUUCUGACGUGCAAAUCGAUCGUCAAAUUUGGGUAUAGGGGCGAAAGACUAAUCGAACCAUCUAGUAGCUGGUUCCCUCCGAAGUUUCCCUCAGGAUAGCUGGAACUCAGUACACAGUUUUAUCAGGUAAAGCGAAUGAUUAGAGGUCUUGGGGGUGAAACACCCUCAACCUAUUCUCAAACUUUAAAUAGGUAAAAAGCCGUGACUUGCUUGAUUGAAGCCACGCAGUUCAAUGUGAGUUCCAAGUGGGCCAUUUUUGGUAAGCAGAACUGGCGAUGCGGGAUGAACCGAACGCUCGG
rnacentral:rRNA from 1 species